CUCUCCCUAGGGUUUCGGCGACGGCGAGGCGAUCGGCGACGGCAGCGAUCGGCGACGGCGGCGAUCGGCGACGGCGGCUGCUCUUCACCUCCCUGGCACCAUCAGCCUGACCACCUCGAGAUAAUCCAUGACAAAGAUGACAGGGAAGAAGCAGCAGCAACCAGCUGCGCCCCUCACCGAAAUCGAGAAGAUUAGGGCUAAUACAAUGAUGAGGAACCACCGCAUAUUCCAGUCACUUGGCAUCGGCACACUAGUGUCAAUGAUUAGGAAAUCAAAUGAU